GCGUUGUCCGGAAUUACUGGGCGUAAAGAGCGCGUAGGCGGCACGGUACGACACAUGUGAAAGCCCCCGGCUCAACUGGGGAGGGUCAUGUGUUACGGCCGAGCUAUAGAGUGCAGGAGAGGGAAGUGGAACUCCGGGAGUAGCGGUGAAAUGCGUAGAUACCCGGAGGAACACCAGUGGCGAAGGCGGCUUCCUGGUCUGCGACUGACGCUGUGGCGCGAAAGCU
rnacentral:rRNA from 1 species